ACUGCAGUACACAGUCUUACACAAACCCACACCCACUUGCAUAUAUAGUGUGCUAUACUAGAGAAGCACAUUGAUACACACGCACAGAUUCAAAAUUUCAAAUUCAAAUCACAUCCUCUUCUUUUUCUCCUUUACAUUUGAUUAUCUUCUCCUCUCUCCCUCUAUUUGUGGCUGGAAAUCAAGCAUAAGAGAAUCUACUCAGAAAAGGCGUGAAUGAAUAUAAGGUGAUUUUCUGUUGAGAUUGCAAAGUCGUUGCUUGAUAACAAAUGUUGUGUGAUCUUAUCUGAUUUACACAAUUUGGAAGCUGUAGACUCAUUAACUCCCAAGUUGAGUUCAGUCAAUUGGAGCCGCCGCAUGGCAAUUCCUUACAAGAAGAAAACAACGAUGUUCUUUUUGAUGAGGAUGAAGAAAUUUCUGAAGUUGAUUCUAAAGAUUCAGAGGAUGAAUCUGACCCAGAGACUGAUGAUUUGGCUAUAGGUUUGACUUAAAAUGCGAAGCCUAUACAACGAAAAGGGAAGCAUGCAGCAGCCAGACCAAGGUGCAGAUAACGCAAUGAAUAAGGUUGAGACAAUUGACUCAGGCAAAUAUUCAAAAUCUUCCAGCUGAAAACAUGUAUAGCAGGCCAAAUCCUAUGUUUUCUUAGCUGAAAAUUUAAGUUGGUCAUUUUGAUGCGCUUUUAAGUGUAGAAAGAAAUAGCUAUGUUGCAUCUUAUUCCCCUGUUAACAUUCUUUAAAUAAAUCAUUUUGUAACUUAACUGAUUUAUAUUA